GCCUGAGUGGCUCAGUGGUUGAGCAUCUGUCUUUGGCUCAGAUAGUGGUCCCCAGGGUCUUGGGAUUAAGUCCUGCAUCAGGCU
rnacentral:tRNA from 1 species